rnacentral:rRNA from 1 species
CGGUUACUAGCGAUUCCGGCUUCAUGCAGGCGAGUUUCAGCCUGCAAUCCGAACUGAGGCCAGAUUUCAGGGAUUAGCUUGUCCUCACGGACUUGCAACCCGUUGUUGCUGACCAUUGUAACACGAGUGUUGCCCAGGGCAUAAGGGACACGCUGAUUUGACGUCAUCCCCACCUUCCUCCCCGCUCAAUAGGCGAGGCAGUCCUCAGUGAGACCUCCGGCGUGACGCCGGAGUAACACAGAGCAAGGGUUGCGCUCGUUGACCGACUUAACGGGACACCUCACGGCACGAGCUGACGACAACCGUGCAUCACCGACCUAUUAGCUCCCGAAGGCACCCCCACGUUUCCGCGGGGUUCUAAUAGGGUGAACCCUGGUAAGGUUUUUCGCUUAUCGUCGAAUUAAACCUCAUGUUCCACCGCUUGUGCGAGCCCCCGUCUAUUCCUUUGAGUUUUAGUCUUGCGACCGUACUCCCCAGGCGGCUGACUUAACGCGUUAGCUUCACUACAAGAAGGUCGAUACUCCCUAUA